rnacentral:rRNA from 1 species
AAUUGGAUUCAGGCCUAGCACAUGCAAGUCGAACGGUGAAAUGCCCUUCGGGGAGGGGAUCAGUGGCGAACGGGUGGGUAACACGUGAGCAAUCGGCCUUUCACUUUGGGAUAACGCCGGGAAGCCGGGGCUAAUACCGAGUACGAACUCCUUUGGCAUCUUUGGGGUUGGAAAGUUGUUCGGUGAAAGAUGAGCUCGGGGCCUAUCAGCUUGUUGGUGGGGUAAUGCCCCACCAAGGCGACGACGGGUAGCCGGCCUGAGAGGGCGACCGGCCACACUGGAUCUGAGGCACGGCCCAGACUCCUACGGGAGGCAGCAGUGGGGAAUAUUGGUCAAUAAAAAAAAGCCUGACCCAGCGA